rnacentral:rRNA from 1 species
UGGGGAAUAUUGGACAAUGGGCGCAAGCCUGAUCCAGCCAUGCCGCGUGAGUGAUGAAGGCCUUAGGGUUGUAAAGCUCUUUCGCCGGUGAAGAUAAUGACGGUAACCGGAGAAGAAGCCCCGGCUAACUUCGUGCCAGCAGCCGCGGUAAUACGAAGGGGGCUAGCGUUGCUCGGAAUCACUGGGCGUAAAGCGCACGUAGGCGGAUCGUUAAGUCAGGGGUGAAAUCCUGGAGCUCAACUCCAGAACUGCCCUUGAUACUGGCGAUCUCGAGUUCGAGAGAGGUUGGUUGGAAACUCCGAGUGUAGAGGUGAAAUUCGUAGAUAUUCGGAAGAACACCAGUGGCGAAGGCGGCCAAACUGGCUCGAUACUGACGCUG